rnacentral:rRNA from 1 species
UACGUAGGGGGCAAGCGUUGUCCGGAAUCAUUGGGCGUAAAGCGCGUGUAGGCGGUUCAGUAAGUCUGCUGUGAAAGUCCAGGGCUCAACCCUGGGAUGCCGGUGGAUACUGCUGGGCUAGAGUACGGAAGGGGCGAGUGGAAUUCCCGGUGUAGCGGUGAAAUGCGCAGAUAUCGGGAGGAACACCAAUUGCGAAGGCAGCUCGCUGGGACGUUACUGACGCUGAGACGCGAAAGCGUGGGGAGCAAACAGG